rnacentral:rRNA from 1 species
GGGUUGUGAGGUUAAGCGACUAAGCGUACACGGUGGAUGCCCUGGCAGUCAGAGGCGAUGAAGGACGUGCUAAUCUGCGAUAAGCGUCGGUAAGGUGAUAUGAACCGUUAUAACCGGCGAUUUCCGAAUGGGGAAACCCAGUGUGAUUCGUCACACUAUCAUUAACUGAAUCCAUAGGUUAAUGAGGCGAACCGGGGGAACUGAAACAUCUAAGUACCCCGAGGAAAAGAAAUCAACCGAGAUUCCCCCAGUAGCGGCGAGCGAACGGGGAGCAGCCCAGAGCCUGAAUCAGUGUGUGUGUUAGUGGAAGCGUCUGGAAAGGCGCGCGAUACAGGGUGACAGCCCCGUACACAAAAAUGCACAUACUGUGAGCUCGAUGAGUAGGGCGGGACACGUGGUAUCCUGUCUGAAUAUGGGGGGACCAUCCUCCAAGGCUAAAUACUCCUGACUGACCGAUAGUGAACCAGUACCGUGAGGGAAAGGCGAAAAGAACCCCGGCGAGGGGAGUGAAAAAGAACCUGAAACCGUGUACGUACAAGCAGUGGGAGCACAGAGCAAUCUGUGUGACUGCGUACCUUUUGUAUAAUGGGUCAGCGACUUAUAUUCUGUAGCAAGGUUAACCGAAUAGGGGAGCCGAAGGGAAACCGAGUCUUAACUGGGCGUUAAGUUGCAGGGUAUAGACCCGAAACCCGGUGAUCUAGCCAUGGGCAGGUUGAAGGUUGGGUAACACUAACUGGAGGACCGAACCGACUAAUGUUGAAAAAUUAGCGGAUGACUUGUGGCUGGGGGUGAAAGGCCAAUCAAACCGGGAGAUAGCUGGUUCUCCCCGAAAGCUAUUUAGGUAGCGCCUCGUGAAUUCAUCUCCGGGGGUAGAGCACUGUUUCGGCAAGGGGGUCAUCCCGACUUACCAACCCGAUGCAAACUGCGAAUACCGGAGAAUGUUAUCACGGGAGACACACGGCGGGUGCUAACGUCCGUCGUGAAGAGGGAAACAACCCAGACCGCCAGCUAAGGUCCCAAAGUCAUGGUUAAGUGGGAAACGAUGUGGGAAGGCCCAGACAGCCAGGAUGUUGGCUUAGAAGCAGCCAUCAUUUAAAGAAAGCGUAAUAGCUCACUGGUCGAGUCGGCCUGCGCGGAAGAUGUAACGGGGCUAAACCAUGCACCGAAGCUGCGGCAGCGACGCUUAUGCGUUGUUGGGUAGGGGAGCGUUCUGUAAGCCUG